AGUUAAAAAAAUAAAAAUAAAAAAUACUUUAAGUCAUUUUAUGAAUAAUGUACAGAAGAAAAAGUAAUAAAAUUCAAUGUUAAAAAUUUUACUAAGACUUGAAAAACAUACUAAACCCAAAUUUCUAUUCUGUAAUAAUGUGGUUUUAAAGGUAUAUAGACCUGAAAUAGGUAAAGAUUUAUUAUUUAUUUAUUAUUUAUUUAUUUAUUUAUUUAUUAAAGAAAAGCAGACUGCCAUGUGCAGUGCCUCAUUUGGAUGUUUCUGGAGUUUUGGAAGCUUGACUACCCUACGUUCUCCUACAAAUGGACCUUGAAAGCUUGUUUGGAGGUUCUAGCAGGGGAGUGCAGCUACUCGAUGGGAAAGAGCACACCUCUGAAAUCCAG